UACGAAGGGGGCUAGCGUUGUUCGGAAUUACUGGGCGUAAAGCGAACGUAGGCGGUGUUCCAUGUCAGAGGUGAAAGCCUGGGGCUCAACUCCAGAAUUGCCUUUGAAACGGGGACGCUUGAGUCCGAGAGAGGAUGGCGGAAUUCCUAGUGUAGAGGUGAAAUUCGUAGAUAUUAGGAAGAACACCAGUGGCGAAGGCGGCCAUCUGGCUCGGUACUGACGCUCAGGUUCGAAAGCGUGGGGAGCAAACAGG
rnacentral:rRNA from 1 species